CAGGCGUGUGUACAGCUUUACAAUGCAGAAAGGGAACCAACCAAUGGGACGAAAAGAUGAGCCGAUACCGAAGUUAUAUAUGGCCUGAGGGUCGCAACGGUUGCUUCAGACGCGCGGCGAAGGCUGCAAGAUGGCGUUUCCACUGGGCUGGCAGCUGACCGCCGCGUUGAUCGUUUUUGCGGUGGCAGCGUCGGCGCACGCCUCCUGGACACGCCUACUGACGGAUGUUAUUCCCGGUCUGCGUACGAUGGUAGCUACACCGGAAACGACUCUCAACGAAACCGAGCCGGUUGACUUGCACCAGUAUGACCAAGCGGUACAGGACCUUCUGGAUUCCAUUUUAGCAGCGCACAACUUGCCCAGCGACUCCGGCCCAAGACGAGGGAAGCGCAGCACAUCACUCGACGUCUCGAUCAAGGACAGCC